rnacentral:lncRNA from 1 species
AUACUGCAUUCCUGCAGAUGCCAGCUCCUGCUCCUGCAGAUUGCCAGUCGAGAUGCGGCAAAGCAGAGGCAAACAGCUAGGCACAAAGCAAUAGAGUUGUAAACUUUGUUUUUUUUUGUUUUUUGUUUUUUUUUCCUGCUGCCGCCUAUACUGCCUCUCUCCCAUAGGAAGAACACUACCUCUGGGUAGCCAGGAGCUGAGAUGCAGUCUGAAUGUUCACGGUGGCUUCUGACGUGGCAGCGUGAAUUCUCAGCUGGGCAGGUACUGCUUGGAGCUUGCUGAGCAAACUGGCAGUGGUGGAGUUCAACUGCUUGCCCACCUUGUAUGGGAGUAGGCUUGGAGGUGGGGAGGCGGGUUCUUGUGCCAUGCUAUGGUACCUUCAGGAGAUGAUCUUGGCAUGAUUUGUCCUGACUCAGACCUGGGCAACUCAUCACAUUGGCACUGUGGGACUCUCCAGCUCCCAUUGCAGGCUGGUCAUGGGACUGGCGUAACCCCCCCCCCCCCCGCCCGCACUCCUCAGUUAGAUCAUGCUUUAAAGGAGAAACCAGAUUUAUUGGCCUAACUCAAUCUUAGUCCUCUCUGGAUGCAGGACAGCUGUCGGCUAGCAGGGACACAAACAGCCAUCAAGUGGAGAGUCGUUGGGACUUUGGUCUGUGUGCAGGUGGAGCCUGGAAGACUGACAGUCUAAUUUCGGUCAUCUAAUGACUUCUUAUUUUCCUAACUAAUUGUGCUUGCUAAGCACACAAUGGUCUGGAUUAGUCUUGGAGCCUUCAUCAAGUUGGGCUGCAAAUCAGGAUGCCAGCAAGCCUGCAAUAGCCUUGGCUCCCUCCUGUGUGAUGCUAUGCUAAUUCCCAGGAUGGGUCACUCUGACAACAAAAAAGAACGCUUGACUUCUCUUGUGAUGCUAGAAGAACAUAAUUCUUUUUUGCAGCGAUUCUCUCUCUCUCUCUCUCUCUCUCUCUCUCUCUCUGUGUGUGUGUGUGUGUGUGUGUAAAAUUCAUCAAACCAAAGAGCCUAAGAGAGAUCAUUGUGGAUGUGGCUUUUAAUGAUUUGCGGGAGAAAAAGAAAAAGAAAAAGAAAAAUGACAGCCUGUGGAGACGCCGAUUGGAGAAAGCAGCACACUGUGGUUAUUGCCAAUUUGAAAUACUGGGUUUGUGAAGCCAAGCCCUAAGGGAGUAGCCGGGUAACUGAGAAAGAGAUCGUAGAUAAAGAAAUAAAAAUGACAAGCGUAAUGGAGGCUGUGCGAAGGGACUGUCAGAGCAUCCGUUCAUGGAUGGCAAUCUUGCCAGGCAGAGAUUGAAUAAUUCAUAGAUGGAAACUACCCUGCCUUCACCUUCCCAUUUAAACCGGGCAUGAGCUGAAUCUCUAAUAAAUUUUCAAGAUAAAGUAAAAUGCCAAUUUGAAUCUGAAGAGCUUUUAAAAGCAGAUGUCGCAUCCCCCCGAAUCGUUCAGUAUCUUUCACAAUUACACUCUGAGGACUGCACUUCAUCAGGAAGCACCGUCACCGGGGAAAAUGACUGUGAUUACAAUAGCAACAAUAGAAUGCCAUCGAAUGAUCUCUAAUUUACCUAAUUUGCUAAGACUGACUGGCUUAAAUACCCAUUGUGUGUUGCUGGUGCCCUGUCCGUGGAUCUCUCUCAAGACAGAACAAAAGUGGUGUACUGUGUGUGCUCCCUUGGUUCACACAGUCUGGCAGAGAUCGGUCUUCUAAGUUACAAUGUCUCUUUCGUCGGCUUUUCAUCUUUGUAUUUUUUUAUAUUUUUACUUUUUUCCUAAUGCUUUGUCCUAAAUGCCUUUUGAGGGAAAAUGGCAAGCAGUGACUUGUUAAUUUAUACACUUCUUAAAUUUUAAAAUAUACAGGCCUGGGUCUAUUUGAGGAGAGGGCAGAUUUGGUGCUGGGAGAAGGAUUUAACAAGCCAGCCGGGAUGGGGUGUGUGUGCGUACGCAUGUCGUGCUCGUGCAUGAGUGCGUGCAAGUGUGUGUGUGUGUGUGCGCGCGCGCGCGCGCGCGUGCGCGAGUGCACAUGCACGUGUUGUGUUGUGUUUCCUCCAUAAGAAAUUCUUUUCCUGGAUUUGUGAUCCCUGUGGAACAUUAAGAACCUCUCCGAUUGAAUCUCAGGUAGUAAAGCCGGCAGCCACUCCACGUAGCUCUUUCAGAAAGGCUGUGUGCCUGAUUCCUUGAUGCAUCAAGGCUUUUAGGCUACUUGGCUGUGUUUGUGUCUGCUCAGCGCACAGAAGUCUGUGCUAAAGAGAACUUUCUGUCUGGCAGAGUGCCCUGCUCAUUCGUCUUGGGGUGACUAUGCCAUUCUGAGGAGGUGGCACGGGGCUAUCCAUCCUCCCUGGGGAACAGAGCGGAAUCAUUUAGCAGACACUGGGGUUUCUGGAAUUGUCCUUAUAGCAUGGAGACAGCAUGCCAAUCAGUAUUUGAAUAUUUCAGGGAGGAACCGGAGGUAUGAAUGACAACUGUUUGAGAAGAAGGUCCCAAAUCCCUCUCUUAAAACCUUGGGAUUGUGCUUGAGACUCAGCCCCGAUGUGUUCCGUGGUGAGUCACUCACCUGGUUUACCCACACUGUAUGCUCCCCCUACCUGCCCCUACCUUGUCAUAAGGUAAGUUGUGUUGCUAGUUAUUUAUAUAAUAAGCAUGAGUGAUCCUUAUUGUGUGAUGUUAGUGGGAAUGCGCUGUUGAUGUUGCCUUUUCUUCCCAUUGUGUUCACACCAUGCUGGGGCAGACUUAGAACUUUGUGUUAAAAUAUGGCAUAUUGAAGCAUGACUUAAAUAUUGUAGGUUUUUUC